GGGGGCAUAGCUCAGUUGGGAGAGCAGCAGACUGAAGUCCUGGUCAAUUCCAGGGUAUUCUGAAGGUCCCGCGUUCAAUCCGCGGUGCCCCCA